rnacentral:rRNA from 1 species
GGCUCACCAAGCCGACGAUCUGUAGCUGGUCUGAGAGGACGACCAGCCACACUGGGACUGAGACACGGCCCAGACUCCUACGGGAGGCAGCAGUGGGGAAUUUUGGACAAUGGGCGCAAGCCUGAUCCAGCAAUGCCGCGUGCAGGAUGAAGGCCUUCGGGUUGUAAACUGCUUUUGUACGGAACGAAACGGUGAGCUCUAAUACAGUUUGCUAAUGACGGUACCGUAAGAAUAAGCACCGGCUAACUACGUG